rnacentral:rRNA from 1 species
UGGGGAAUAUUGGACAAUGGGCGCAAGCCUGAUCCAGCCAUGCCGCGUGUGUGAAGAAGUCCUUUUGGUUGUAAAGCACUUUAAGCGAGGAGGAGGCUACUUGGAUUAAUACUCUAGGAUAGUGGACGUUACUCGCAGAAUAAGCACCGGCUAACUCUGUGCCAGCAGCCGCGGUAAUACAGAGGGUGCGAGCGUUAAUCGGAUUUACUGGGCGUAAAGCGUGCGUAGGCGGCUUCUUAAGUCGGAUGUGAAAUCCCUGAGCUUAACUUAGGAAUUGCAUUCGAUACUGGGAAGCUAGAGUAUGGGAGAGGAUGGUAGAAUUCCAGGUGUAGCGGUGAAAUGCGUAGAGAUCUGGAGGAAUACCGAUGGCGAAGGCAGCCAUCUGGCCUAAUACUGACGCUGAGGUACGAAAGCAUGGGGAGCAAACAGG